ensembl:lncRNA
AGCGAAGAAAAUGCUGGGUAAAGAGAGGCGGAGCGGUGUUAGCUUUAGCUUGACUCUUAGACCUGCGAGCACUUCCGCCCAGAUGGGUAGAGUGCGAAGCCUCGGGUGUUCUAGCGAUCUCAGGGAUGAGUCGAAGAUUGGUGAUAAAACUGCUGGUAAAGUCCUCACCGAUAUCCAAAAGCUCUUGUCGGGUGUAUGAUGUUAAAGCAAAGCUGUUCAGUACGAACAGACCCGAGAUGAGCAGGAAUAAUACUGCAAAAUUGCAAAAACUGGAGAGACACUGAGCCUCGCGAUGUGUUCGCGCCGCCAUCUUGGUCCCUUGGGUCCCUUGGAGGUCCCUUGGGGGAACAAAUUUGUUGUUCGUAAUUGAAAUGCAACGCUGGAAAUCACAUGUAAACCCAUGAGAGUUUUCUUCUCCCACCUAGCAGAACCAGACUGAAAUUCCUAAGGGGAAUCCUAAAAACUGUCUUUUCUACAUAUAAAUGGACCACAAUGAACUCCAAAGUACUUAUAAAUGAGUCCAUCGCUUCACUCCAUAUUCAUUUAUGUGUAACCCACACAUUUGACUAUCAUGUUAUAAUCACUUAUUGUGUAUGUCUUUUAAUAACUAUUGGAUAAUAACCACAUGCUUGAUAAGAUAACAUAUGAUUUAUGAUACCCCCCCCCCCCGAGCCAAGACAAUAUCUGACUGGUCAACACAACAUUUGAGGUGUGGCCAACAGGCCAGUUUAAAAACUUAGGACACCAUAAAAUCUUGCUUUUAGUUUUUAGCUAUGCUUCUGCUAUAAGUCAUGCCUGCUUUUGGCUUUUAGUUUUAGCUUUGCUUUUUUUAUCAGUCAUGACAGUUUUUAGUAUGCUUUUAUUUUGCUUUUAGCUUGUAGCUUUGCUUCCUAGCUUUAGCUUUUAGCCAUGCUUUUAGUCAUCACUGUUAGCUGUUCUUUGAGCACGGAUCCAGAGUGCUUCGGCCAGUUUUGUAACACCGUGUCUGACCUCGAAUGCCUGUUCAACUUCAACCAGCCCACACAACUCUGCAUCGUCAGCCAACGCCCAACCACGGGCUUCCCAAGUCGUCACUUCAGCAACUACUGAACUGCCAGCUAAUCAGCGACAUCAGGAAACCCCUUUCAACGACAACAAAGGGGACUUCCUUUUCACAGGAGACGCAAAAUCGGCAUUUCUAUGAAAGAACUUGGGUCUCUGCACUUGUUACAUGUGGCGUUAAAGACUGGCAGAAGCCUGUCCACAUCUGGAGUUGAGCUGUUGAAAAGAAAGAGUUGUGAGUCUAAAAAAGCACUUAAAAUGGGAUUGAAUUCCUACUGGCAAACAAAUACUGUUAACACACUUAUUUGAAGUAUUUGAAGUCCUGCCACAAUGCCAUGAAAGCCUUUUUGCAGAAUUUCACAAAACUUACAAGCUCCCCAAAAAAGUCAUUUGGAUUGAGCGUGGAAAGGAAGCCAUUCGUCUUAUUUGAAAUCAGUGUACCAUCAAAAUUUGAUUGAUCAGAUUUUAAAACUGAUAUUUCAAGGUAAAAACAUAAAGACUGCUUUAAAGACACAAUUUGAUUUAGUCAUAAAAACAUUUUGUAACUUGUGUCUGGCUGAUGAGAGUCUGCAAUAUACUAAAUGAGGCCAUAUUAAUUUCUUCAACAUGAACUAGCUACACACAUAAGCACUGCUAAAUCACUUUAUUAAACACAUUUAAAUGACGUGAAAUACAAUGCAAACUAUGAAUUAGUAACAAAUAACAGUACAAAGUUGUUUAAUUAAAUAGAAAAUAAGAAUUCUGAACUAACAAAGUUAGCAUAUGAGUCAUUAAAGGAACAGUUCACCCAAAAAUGAAAAUUCUGUCAUCAUUUACUCAUUUUCAGUUUAAGUUUUAUCCUUUUAAAACCCAACUGCCUCUCGUCUAAUAUUGCUACACACAAGAAAUAUAGCAUAAAAAUAUAACUGAAAUAAUUGUAGGAACACUUACUUGCACUCCCAAGUAGGAUUGGCUUUCCUUGAAAUGAGUUUGUUCUGUCUGCAGUCUUCAAAGCUCAUGUACUCGCGUAAUUGAUCUGUGACGCUUUUCAAGCGUUCAGGAGAACAUGGUUGAUCACAGUCAGAGCAGGGCAGCUUACAAUAGCCGUAAACAGACACGACAGCAGAAAUAAACACCUGUUUCAAACAGCACAAGUUAGUGGACACUCAUACAGUAUGCGCCAAACUAUACAACAAUUACUGUUUACUAGAUUGACUCACCAACAGAGCAGAGAUAUUCAUUCUUCACUUGUUCAGUGUCACUCUUGUACAGCUUCUGUCCUGUAAAGCAGAGUAGGAGUAUUGCUAUAUUGUGCUUCAGACUGACUUUUUAUACCUUGAUCAGGAUGCAACUGAGGAUUCCUCCUGACGUAAUCCACCUACCACUUUCC